AAUCAACGCUGGCGGCGUGCCUAACACAUGCAAGUCGAACGAGAAAGGGGAGCAAUCCCUGAGUACAGUGGCGACCGGGUGAGUAACACGUGACUACCUACCCUCGAGUGGGGAAUAACUCCGGGAAACCGGAGCUAAUACCGCAUAACAUCGCAAGAUCAAAGCAGCAAUGCGCUUGAGGAGGGGGUCGCGGCUGAUUA
rnacentral:rRNA from 1 species